UGCAUAAAGGAAUAUUCAAUCAACAUCAAUUAUCUGACAGUUUCUUUGAUUUACUGAGAAACAGACCUCUGGACGUUAAUCUGGCAGCAUUGAAGCACAUUUGUUCUUAUAAACGCCCAGUGUUUGAUGCUCAUAAAAGUCUCAAAGCUGUCCAACAAUGGUUACUGAAAAACCCCAAACUUUUCAAGAGCCCUAAACAGCUGGAUGAUAUUGUAGAAAU
rnacentral:misc_RNA from 1 species